CUACAGCUUGCACUUUGACGACCUUGUGUGUCCUGGAGUUUUACUGUCAAUUUAGAUCCUAUAUUUGCCAACUCUUCCUUUAUAAUACUGUAUGUAUGAGGAUAUCUCGGUUCUUGGGUGGAGUAUUGAUACCAACCCUCCCAGUCCCACAGGCACCACCAAACCUCUCCGCGGCCUUAGUCGUCGUGUACCCUGAAAAUGUUUGCAUGAGCGUAGUAUAGCCAUUGUUUGUCAGCUGAUGUGCUAGUGCUCCUACCAUUGCUAGAUGCCACAAGAUGAAGAUAAGAGCAGUUCAGAGCAACUGACCAACACCGCCGACGCGGGCUCCAUGGCAAAGGGAGCCGCUCAUGAUCGCUGCGAAGACGAUGAGCACUAGCGUGACACGAAAGAUCACGACGAGAUGGGCAAUUUUGGUGGAGGAUGCCAUUGGUUUCGGACUUCUAUUUGGAUGCUGG
rnacentral:lncRNA from 1 species